GGAGGGUGCAAGCGUUAAUCGGAAUUACUGGGCGUAAAGCGCACGCAGGCGGUUUGUUAAGUCAGAUGUGAAAUCCCCGGGCUCAACCUGGGAACUGCAUCUGAUACUGGCAAGCUUGAGUCUCGUAGAGGGGGGUAGAAUUCCAGGUGUAGCGGUGAAAUGCGUAGAGAUCUGGAGGAAUACCGGUGGCGAAGGCGGCCCCCUGGACGAAGACUGACGCUCAGGUGCGAAAGCGUGGGGAGCAAACAGGAUUAGAUACCCUGGUAGUCCACGCCGUAAACGAUGUCGACUUGGAGGUUGUGCCCUUGAGGCGUGGCUUCCGGAGCUAACGCGUUAAGUCGACCGCCUGGGGAGUACGGCCGCAAGGUUA
rnacentral:rRNA from 2 species